rnacentral:rRNA from 1 species
GAUGAACGCUAGCGGCAGGCCUAACACAUGCAAGUCGAGGGGUAGAACACUUCGGUGUUUGAGACCGGCGCACGGGUGCGUAACGCGUAUGCAAUCUGCCUUACACUAAGGGAUAGCCCAGAGAAAUUUGGAUUAAUACCUUAUAGUAUAUUGAUGUGGCAUCACAUUAUUAUUAAAGAUUUAUUGGUGUAAGAUGAGCAUGCGUCCCAUUAGCUAGUUGGUAUGGUAACGGCAUACCAAGGCGAUGAUGGGUAGGGGUCCUGAGAGGGAAAUCCACGAGCCUGGAACUGUAAAACGGACCAGCCUACUACGGGAGGCAGCAGUGAGGGAUAUUGGUCAAUGUUCGCAAGACUGAACCACCCAUGCCGCGUGCAGGAUGAAGCAUCUAUGGUGUGUAAACUGCUUUCGUACGGGAAGAAACACCUCUUCGUGAAGAUGCUUGACGGUACCGUAAGAAUAAGGAUCGGCUAACUCCGUGCCAGCCGCCGCAGUAA